rnacentral:rRNA from 1 species
GCACGGGAGACAGAGCACCGGGUGCUAACGUCCGGACUCAAAAGGGAAACAACCCAGACCGCCGGCUAAGGUCCCAAAUAACAGCUAAGUGGAAAACGAAGUGGAAAGGCCGUGACAACCAGGAAGUUGGCUUAGAAGCAGCCAUCCUUCAAAGAAAGCGUAAUAGCUCACUGGUCGAGUCCUUCUGCGCGGAAGAUGUAACGGGGCUAAGCUGUUAACCGAAGCCGCGGAUGCACUGGUAAUCCAGUGCGUGGUAGGGGAGCGUUCUGUAAGUCUGCGAAGGCGGUUCGAGAGGACUGCUGGAGAUAUCAGAAGUGCGAAUGCUGACAUGAGUAACGUUAAAGCAGGUGAAAAGCCUGCUCGCCGUAAGCCCAAGGAUUCCUGCUCUACGUUCAUCGGAGCAGGGUGAGUCGGCUCCUAAGGUCAGGCCGAAAGGCGUAGCCGAUGGGAAUCAGGUUAAUAUUCCUGAACCUGCGUCAGAUGCGAUGGGGGGACGGAGCAUGGAAGAUCAUCCGGGUGUUGGAAGUCCCGGUUGUUGAGCGUAGGAGGUCUGCAGGCAAAUCCGCAGACGCAUCUCCAAGGCAAAGACACGUGCCGCCACGGCGGCGAAGUGAUCGGAAGUGCUUCCAAGAAAAGCCUCUAAGCUUCAGUCUGACGCGGACCGUACCGCAAACCGACACUGGUGGGCGAGCUGAAUAUGCUCAGGCGCUUGAGAGAACUCGGGAGAAGGAACUCGGCAAAUUGACACCGUAACUUCGGAAGAAGGUGUGCCGUAGUACCGUGAGAGGAGAGACACCUUGAGCGGGAAACGGUCUCAGAGAAUAGGUGGCUGCGACUGUUUAUUAAAAACACAGCACUCUGCAAAGUCGAAAGACGACGUAUAGGGUGUGAUGCCUGCCCGGUGCUGGAAGAUUAAUUGAUGGGGUGAGAGCCCUUGAUCGAAGUCCCAGUAAACGGCGGCCGUAACUAUAACGGUCCUAAGGUAGCGAAAUUCCUUGUCGGGUAAGUUCCGACCUGCACGAAUGGCAUAACGAUGGCCACACUGUCUCCUCCCGAGACUCAGUGAAGUUGAAAUGUUUGUGAUGAUGCAAUCUACCCGCGGCUAGACGGAAAGACCCCAUGAACCUUUACUGCAGCUUUGCAUUGAACUGUGAACCGAUUUGUGUAGGAUAGGUGGGAGGCAGAGAAAGCGCCACGCCAGUGGCCUUGGAGCCGACCUUGAAAUACCACCCUGAUUUGUUUGCGGUUCUAACCACGGACAGUGAUCCUGUCUUGGGACCGUGCAUGGUAGGCAGUUUGACUGGGGCGGUCUCCUCCUAAAGGGUAACGG